UACAGAGGUCCCGAGCGUUGUUCGGAUUCACUGGGCGUAAAGGGUGCGUAGGUGGCGAGGUAAGUCGGAUGUGAAAGCCCGGAGCUCAACUCCGAAAUGGCAUUGGAAACUACCUUGCUCGAGGGUUGGAGGGGGGACUGGAAUACUUGGUGUAGCAGUGAAAUGCGUAGAUAUCGAGAGGAACACCAGUGGCGAAGGCGAGUCUCUGGACGACUCCUGACACUGAGGCACGAAAGCUAGGGGAGCAAACAGG
rnacentral:rRNA from 1 species